UCAACUAUUGAACCUUCUGGUUUCUUCAGGCAUCAUUAUCAGUAUACUUUUCAAACGGGCAGCAUUAUUAAAUUAUAUAUCGUAACAAAUAUCGAUAUCGAUCAAUAUGGAAAAAAAUAUCGUGAUAAUAUAUUUUGCCAUAUCGCCCAGCCCUAGUUUAAAUAGUCAGUAGUACAAUUCGUAUCAUUCACAGUAAGCACCGCUCCACUGUGAUGUUUCCAAGCAUAUUUUUGCGCAUGUAAAGCGGAUGAUUUUCUACGUCGGUAUUGGAGCGUGAGUAAAGUACAAAGCCUAUAAUAAAGAAUAGUUUAGCUAUGGGCUGAAAUAUGUGCCACCAGAAUCUGAAUUUGAACCCUUUAUAUUUGAAUUUGAAUGGCUAAACUUGAAUAAUUGCAUUGAAAAACUGAAUUUGAAUCACAUAAUUUGAAAUUGUAUUGUUUAAUUAAAAUUGAAUUUAUUCAAAAACUGAAUCUGAAUUGUAUCAUUUGAAAUUGAAUUUAUUCGUUUGGAACUGAAGUCCAAUAAAAUUUGAUCCUCACUGAAAAUUAAACUCUCUAUAUAUCUUCACAUUUCACUUCUCACAAUUCAGAUUCAGUUCUCAAAUUCAAUUUCAAGUUACUGAGACAGACAUCCGGGUAGUUGGAGGAUGAAGGAAGAGCAAUCGAGCGCAGAUCGAUAGAUAGCGUUCAUUGGCGCACAGGACUCCUCUUGGGCCAAUCAGCACCAAUGUUUUUGAGCACAGGGCGUUACCCGCCAUGAAACAAAGAAGUGCUUGCCUGACUUGCGUGACCACCACCAUGGAUUCGGCUGGGACAAAUACGAUUCCUGCUGCUCCAGUAGCUCUGAUUGACUUCUCCUCUGCUAAAGUCAAAAAAAAAAAGCUUGACCGUUCUAUUGAUGGCAGGACAACUGAAAACCAGUUAUGGAUGCAAACAUGAAGCACAAGCCAGAGGAGUCUAUGAGAAGCUGAUGGGUCGGGAGCAUGCAGGCUUCUCCUGUAUGGACAGUGGUCUCUGGCUGAACCCCAAGUGGCCAUACAUGGGGUCCUCCC